AGUUUCCUUAAAAGUGCUCUCAUAAAACCUUGUAAAAUUGUAAAAAUAUCUACCUGAAUAAACAUCACCAUGGCUCAUUGCAACUCUACUUUUUUGAAAUACAAACUUUCCUUUAUAGCAUAGAUUUUGUUGUAAGUAUCUGAGAAAAAUUACAAAAUUUAAGUACUAGACACAAAUUAUUAGCCAAAAUGUAAAUCUCUGGUAGACAGACACUUAGGUCUGUGCAAACAUAUUUCAUAAAUUAUAUUAUGGAAGAAUAAGUGUAGUACAAUAUAUCUUUGCAAAGUGCCACAGUAAUUUAUUAGAUUUAAUAGGAUUAGUGUCCUACUUCCAUACCCCCUGUUGAAAUGCCACAGAAAAUUAAACAAAAAAAAACUUCAUUCCAAAAUGGCCCUGUCAAAAAUGUAAAUAAGCACCUGCCUAGGAAGAGCAUUAUGAAUACCUGUAAAUUAUCAACUCCUAUGUCAACCUAUGUUUUGUUUAUCACCAGUGCAAC